rnacentral:rRNA from 1 species
UACGAAGGGGGCUAGCGUUGCUCGGAAUCACUGGGCGUAAAGGGUGCGUAGGCGGGUCUUUAAGUCAGGGGGGAAAUCCUGGAGCUCAACUCCAGAACUGCCUUUGAUACUGAAGAUCUUGAGUUCGGGAGAGGUGAGUGGAACUGCGAGUGUAGAGGUGAAAUUCGUAGAUAUUCGGAGGAACACCAGUGGCGAAGGCGGCUCACUGGCUCGAUACUGACGCUGAGGUGCGAAAGCGUGGGGAGCAAACAGG